rnacentral:rRNA from 1 species
GAUGAACGCUGGCGGCGUGCCUAAUACAUGCAAGUCGAGCGAACGGACGAGAAGCUUGCUUUUCUGAUGUUAGCGGCGGACGGGUGAGUAACAUGUGGAUAACCUACCUAUAAGACUGGGAUAACUUCGGGAAAGCGGCGCUAAUACCGGAUAAUAUUUUGAACCGCAUGGUUGAAAAGUGAAAGACGGUCUUGCUGGCACUUAUAGAUGGAUACGGGCUGGAUGAGCUAGUUGGUAAGGUAACGGCUUACCAAGGCAACGAUGCAUAGCCGACCUGAGAGACUGAUCGCCCGCCUGGGAGCGUGGACAGGCUCCUUGCUCCUGCGAUACGCAGCAGUCGGCAACCGUCCGCAGUGGUCGGAAGCCUGACGCAGCAACGCGGCGUGAGUUAUGGAGGUCUUCGGUUCGUAAAACUCGGUUUUUAGGUAAGAACAGAUUUGUAAGGAACUGUGCACUUCUUGACGGUACCGAAUCAGAAAGCCACGGCUAACUACGUG